AGAGUUUGAUCAUGGCUCAGGAUAAACGCUGGCGGCGUGCCUAACACAUGCAAGUCGAACGCCCUGGCAACAGGGAGUGGCGGACGGGUGAGGAACACGUGGGUAUCUGCCUUGAGGUGAGGAAUACCGGCGAGAAAUCGCCGACAAUACCGCAUAUCUUCGCAAGAAGAAAGUCGCAAGACGCCUUGAGAUGAGCCUGC
rnacentral:rRNA from 1 species